rnacentral:rRNA from 1 species
GGUUGCUGGAGGUAUCAGAAGUGCGAAUGCUGACAUAAGUAACGAUAAAGCGGGUGAAAAGCCCGCUCGCCGGAAGACCAAGGGUUCCUGUCCAACGUUAAUCGGGGCAGGGUGAGUCGACCCCUAAGGCGAGGCCGAAAGGCGUAGUCGAUGGGAAACGGGUUAAUAUUCCCGUACUUGGUGUUACUGCGAAGGGGGGACGGAGAAGGCUAUGUUGGCCGGGCGACGGUUGUCCCGGUUUAAGCGUGUAGGUGUGUGUUCCAGGUAAAUCCGGUUCACUUUAACACUGAGGCGUGACGACGAGGCACUACGGUGCUGAAGCAACAAAUGCCCUGCUUCCAGGAAAAGCCUCUAAGCAUCAGGUAACAUCAAAUCGUACCCCAAACCGACACAGGUGGUCAGGUAGAGAAUACCAAGGCGCUUGAGAGAACUCGGGUGAAGGAACUAGGCAAAAUGGUGCCGUAACUUCGGGAGAAGGCACGCUGACACGUAGGUGAAGUGAUUUACUCAUGGAGCUGAAGUCAGUCGAAGAUACCAGCUGGCUGCAACUGUUUAUUAAAAACACAGCACUGUGCAAACACGAAAGUGGACGUAUACGGUGUGACGCCUGCCCGGUGCCGGAAGGUUAAUUGAUGGGGUCAGCGCAAGCGAAGCUCCUGAUCGAAGCCCCGGUAAACGGCGGCCGUAACUAUAACGGUCCUAAGGUAGCGAAAUUCCUUGUCGGGUAAGUUCCGACCUGCACGAAUGGCGUAAUGAUGGCCAGGCUGUCUCCACCCGAGACUCAGUGAAAUUGAACUCGCUGUGAAGAUGCAGUGUACCCGCGGCAAGACGGAAAGACCCCGUGAACCUUUACUAUAGCUUGACACUGAACAUUGAGCCUUGAUGUGUAGGAUAGGUGGGAGGCUUUGAAGUGUGGACGCCAGUCUGCAUGGAGCCGACCUUGAAAUACCACCCUUUAAUGUUUGAUGUUCUAACGUGGACCCGUAAUCCGGGUUGCGGACAGUGUCUGGUGGGUAGUUUGACUGGGGCGGUCUCCUCCUAAAGAGUAACGGAGGAGCACGAAGGUUGGCUAAUCCUGGUCGGACAUCAGGAGGUUAGUGCAAUGGCAUAAGCCAGCUUGACUGCGAGCGUGACGGCGCGAGCAGGUGCGAAAGCAGGUCAUAGUGAUCCGGUGGUUCUGAAUGGAAGGGCCAUCGCUCAACGGAUAAAAGGUACUCCGGGGAUAACAGGCUGAUACCGCCCAAGAGUUCAUAUCGACGGCGGUGUUUGGCACCUCGAUGUCGGCUCAUCACAUCCUGGGGCUGAAGUAGGUCCCAAGGGUAUGGCUGUUCGCCAUUUAAAGUGGUACGCGAGCUGGGUUUAGAACGUCGUGAGACAGUUCGGUCCCUAUCUGCCGUGGGCGCUGGAGAACUGAGGGGGGCUGCUCCUAGUACGAGAGGACCGGAGUGGACGCAUCACUGGUGUUCGGGUUGUCAUGCCAAUGGCACUGCCCGGUAGCUAAAUGCGGAAGAGAUAAGUGCUGAAAGCAUCUAAGCACGAAACUUGCCCCGAGAUGAGUUCUCCCUGAGACUUAGAGUCUCCUGAAGGAACGUUGAAGACGACGACGUUGAUAGGCCGGGUGUGUAAG